UCCUCCCUCUGGCGGCGUGCCUAAUACAUGCAAGUAGAACGCUGAAGGAAGGAGCUUGCUCUUUCUGGAUGAGUUGCGAACGGGUGAGUAACGCGUAGGUAACCUGCCUGGUAGCGGGGGAUAACUAUUGGAAACGAUAGCUAAUACCGCAUAAAAUUGAUUAUUGCAUGAUCGUCAAUUAAAAGGUGCAACUGCACCGCUACCAGAUGGACCUGCGUUGUAUUAGCUAGUUGGUGGGGUAACGGCUCACCAAGGCGACGAUACAUAGCCGACCUGAGAGGGUGAUCGGCCACACUGGGACUGAGACACGGCCCAGACUCCUACGGGAGGCAGCAGUAGGGAAUCUUCGGCAAUGGACGGAAGUCUGACCGAGCAACGCCGCGUGAGUGAAGAAGGUUUUCGGAUCGUAAAGCUCGGUUGUAAGAGAAGAACGAGUGUGAGAGUGGAAAGUUCACACUGUGACGGUAUCUUACCAGAAAGGGACGGCUAACUACGUG
rnacentral:rRNA from 1 species